UUCAGGGAAUGGGUGGGUGGGUAAGAAAUUAGCUGAAGCUUUCAAUUUUACCCUUACUAUUAUCCUUUCUUUCUCACAUUUGAAAUCUUUUCCUUUCUUUUUCAUGCUUCUUCCUUCCACUGUAAUAUAACAAAUUCCCAACUUAUCAAUUUAAACCUUUUUUUAAUCCCAUUUCCUCCGAACCCAAUCUGCAUUUUCUCUUCUUCUUCAAUUCUUUUUCUCCUCAAUAUAUUGACAAAAUUGGAAAUUCUUGAUAGCUUAAUCCAUUGAAAAGAGAAGUGAAGCAUUUUUCGGGUCGUCCCGCAGGAUCCAAGAACUGUUUGUGCAGUCCAUAGGUCUGAUGUAGAGUUUUAACUUCGUUUUUCCAAGGGUAUUUAGUUACUAUCCUUAUCGAAAAAGGGUGCGGCUUGUGGAGUUUCUACAUAAUGUGCUUAAUCUAAAGACCCUUAUUCUAGAUCUGGAGUUUAGGCUGAUGGUGAAAAAGGAUUGAGGUCACUACUUAUACUUUCUUGUUUAUCAUUUCAUGUCAAGGAGACCAAAAUUUCUGGAGUUGAUGAAAGCAAAUAUGCAUUUGAAAUGAUUAGUAAUUUCUUGAACCAUGCAAUGGUUCUAGAGAAGCUCAUAUUAAGAAUGAUUAACCUGCUUGAAAAAGAUGAAUUGUGUAUCUUGAAAAAACUAUUGAGGUUACCAAUGAAUUCAAAGAAAUGUGAAGUUGUCGUACACUAGUAUUUCUUAUGUUAUGGUUGGAACUGUUCACUAUCUCUAUAGGUUUGGUUUUGUGUAGCACUUUUGAGAAAUUAAAUGCCAUAUGGUGUUAUGGUUAGAAUUGUUCAUUGUCUGCUAUUUGUGUAUUUGGUUUAUGCAACGGGUUAGAACAGUUUGUUGAAUGUAGUGGGUUUGAUUUUGAGUA